GUCCAGGGGCGGGAAUCGAACCCACACCCUUCUGCUUACCGGGCAGGUGCCUUGUCCACGCGGCUACCCUGGA
rnacentral:tRNA from 1 species